UAAUCUGCCCCAGAAACCGGAAUAACCUGCCGAAAGGCUGGCUAAUACCGGAUAAGACCACGAAAUCUUCGGAUUUUGAGGGAAAAGGUGGCCUCUGUACACAAGCUAUCAUUCUGGGAUGAGCCCGCGGCCCAUCAGCUAGUUGGCGGGGUAAUGGCCCACCAAGGCUACGACGGGUAGCUGGUCUGAGAGGACGAUCAGCCACACUGGAACUGAGACACGGUCCAG
rnacentral:rRNA from 1 species